rnacentral:rRNA from 1 species
UGGGGAAUAUUGCACAAUGGGCGCAAGCCUGAUGCAGCCAUGCCGCGUGUAUGAAGAAGGCCUUCGGGUUGUAAAGUACUUUCAGCGGGGAGGAAGGGAGUAAAGUUAAUACCUUUGCUCAUUGACGUUACCCGCAGAAGAAGCACCGGCUAACUCCGUGCCAGCAGCCGCGGUAAUACGGAGGGUGCAAGCGUUAAUCGGAAUUACUGGGCGUAAAGCGCACGCAGGCGGUUUGUUAAGUCAGAUGUGAAAUCCUCGGGCUCAACCUGGGAACUGCAGCUGAUACUGGCAAGCUUGAGUCUCGUAGAGGGGGGUAGGAUUCCAGGUGUAGCGGUGAAAUGCGUAGAGAUCUGGGGGAAUACCGGUGGCGAAGGCGGCCCCCUGGACGAAGACUGACGAUCAGGUGCGAAAGCGUGGGGAGCAAACAGG